rnacentral:antisense_RNA from 1 species
UUGCUUUAAUGUAAAAGCACCUACACCCAGGCCCCCCCCCUCCCCACGAACAGCUUCGUGGACAGUUUACUCAGACUGAGUCGAAGAUGGAGAAACUGAGCCCCAGAGAGAGAAGUCAGCUGAGCCUCCCCCAGAUAAGACAAUCACCAGAUAUUCUGGGACCUUGCUGGGGGCAGACAGCCCUCCCUGCCCGGCAAUGGGCCUUUGGGAUGUGGCACAAGCUCCCGGGAAACCUGGAGUGACAAGGGCGCCUGUCCCUGAGGAGCGGAGUUGGUGCUGAGUCAGCCCUGAUGUGGCAGAGGAGGAGCAGGCCCCUGCAGAACCAGGGCUCUUCAGUGUCUCCAGGUCCUUGGUGAAGUGGAACUGGACCAGGCGCGAGUUCCGGAACAGCGGCACUAGGGAAACGUCAUCACCGCUCAACCAGCCCAACCCUGGAGUGCUGUGGAAGCCGCUCUCAGAUCCCUUGGCAGCCCCCCAGGGGAUGAGGCCCAUGAAGAUCUUCUUCUUGGACGAGUACAGGAGCAUGAGCACGCGCACCUCACAGGGGGAGAUGUGGGGGAACAGCAUGCAGCCCGCCUGCG